CCAAUGUGUUGAGCCAAUUUUUAAUUCAUGUCAUGACAAUUAUUACUUAGAAAACAUUAAUUAGGUUGAAAAAAAAAAGUGAACCAGUGGAACAAAACGUCCUUCAGCGAACAAUUGAACAGAUGUAUUUUUGUUUAAAUAACUUUUUAAUAUGUUUCUCGUUGGUCCCCUCUGCAACAGUGGGACUCAGACUGUCGCUACUUCCACUCCUCCUCCGAACUGAUCACCAUCUCCAUAAGGCUGUCCUGGGAGCGAUGCUGGACAAAGUAGCUGCUGCGGAAACGGUGAACGAUCACAGACUCAUUACCGGAUGUGAAGAAACGCCGAGCAGCGAUCCCGUCCGGUCCGCCAGGCUCAGACUGACACCGGGCAGACGAGGACGCGGUCCUCCAGCAGGACGCUGAGGACCAGGAACACGAAGUACAGCACGAACAUGGUGAGGCCCAGCAUGCGGCUCAUCCUCCAGC